GCUGGGUGUGGUGGUGCACACCUGUAAUCCCAGCUACUCAGGAGGCUGAGACAGGAGAAUUGCUUGAAUCCAGGAGGCAGAGGUUGUAGUGAGCUGAGAUCACACCACUGGACUCCAGCCUGGGUGACAGAGCAAGACUUUGUCUCAA
rnacentral:SRP_RNA from 1 species